GACGGGACCCGCACAAGCAGCGGAGCGUGUGGUUUAAUUCGUUGCUACACGAAGAACCUUACCUGGGUUUGACAUAUAGGUUGUAGGGAACUGAAAAGGGACCGACCCUUCGGGGAGCCUAUACAGGUGUUGCAUGGCUGUCGUCAGCUCGUGUCGUGAGAUGUUCGGUUAAGUCCGCUAACGAGCGCAACCCUCGUCGUAUGUUAUAUGUGUCAUACGAGACUGCCGGUAAAAGCCGGAGGAAGGUGAGGAUGAUGUCAAGUCAGCAUGACCUUUAUAUCCAGGGCUACACACACGCUACAAUGGUCUGUACAAUGGGUAGCCAAGCCGCGAGGCGGAGCCAAUCCUGAAAGCAGGCCUCAGUUCAGAUUGCAGGCUGCAACCCGCCUGCAUGAAGAUGGAGUUGCUAGUAACCGCAGGUCAGCUAUACUGCGGUGAAUACGUUCCCGGGGCUU
rnacentral:rRNA from 1 species